GUAAUCCUCUACUUCCGAUACCGAAAAACUUACAACAGGCCUCUCAUGGCGUUCAUCUCUUACGGAAAGAGAAUAUUAACUUGAUACACUGUGUUGUGUGUGGAUAAGAAAUGCAGAGUGGUACCACCAAUCACCUAACAGACAAAAGGAUCAUGGGGACAGUUCCUGCAGUUUACAGCAAAUUGUAGCCCUACAAACUUCAGAUACUGCCAAGCUUGGGUGCACUGGGCCGGUUAUCCAGCCGUGUGGAAUCAACAUCUCCAGCUGAACUUGGGCCGGGAAUUAUAUAAGAAUCCUUAGCAGCAUGAGUGCCAGCCAGUCAUUGCUGUUCUUUGCAUUGCUGAGGAGGACAGUCCUGCCAACAUAACAGGUUGUUCAAUAACAGGAGACAAACAGAAACACAGAGGUGCUAUACAUUCCGAUGGAAAAGACAACAAAAGCAUCUCCCAUCAUUUUGGCUUGGCUCAGAUCAAGAGGAGAAUUUUAAGAAAGGUGAUGGUUGGGCACACACAAGAAGACAUAGAUCACAUGUGUCCAGGCAUAUGAGUAGACAGGAGUUUCACACUCUGCCAAACUUACUUCAUCAGAGGAGCAGAAAGCUUCUCAAGAUCCCGCACUGCACACUUAGAUAUAGUCUUUGACUACAACAAGGGGAUGAAAGUACAGAGAGGUCCAAUUGAAAUCAAUUCUGUGCUGCGUCAUUUCUUCAUUCUGGAAGUCGAUGGACAUGAUUUAUCAUGGCAUCAGGUGUGCAGUUUGUCGACUAUCAGCAGUCUUGUUCACCAGUUGUGCAACUUGAGCUGGUAGCUUUAUUGCUUGAAGCCACAGCAUAAGAGGGGGAAGGUGCAGGCUCAUCAAAAAGUCUCAAAAGUUGAAACUAGGAAAAGAAGUUUGUCAAGAGUGUGAAUCUAUUUGCUUUGAAAACCAUCCUUACGAUGAUUUGGUUUCCUUUGAAACUUGAUACAUACUAUGUGUAUGUUGAAUGAAUUGAGAUGCUUAAAUAAAGAACCGCUAUUCAAAUAUCAGGAAACUGCAUUUUUCAUACUAAAGGGUAAAUGAUGUCGCCAUUUCCUGUAUGUAUUUAAAUGAGAUAUGUUUCCACAAUUAAUAUUUUUAGGGAAUUUUUCUCAUCCUAAUGAAUGAGAUUAAAUUGUACAGCGUUAUAUGAGCUUAAUAUGUGUUUUCUGUUUCUUUAAAAUUGGUGAAAAAUUGUCAGAAGAUAAUUAGACCAGUAUCCAUUACUGCAAUCAUACAAUCAAAUAUACAGGGACAAACCCACUGGGCAUAUAAUAUAAUUAAACCCUGUUUAGGGGCACGAGGCAAACAGAGUUACUUUCAAACGUUAAAGCUGCACUCUCACAUUUUGGACGUUUUGACAACUUUUCUCAUUUUAUGUCUUGGAUUGGAACCAUCCAAUUUUUGCGAAAAAUUAAAUGGCAGAUUUUUCUAUUUAAGUUAAAACAUUGAUGUUUUCUGCACUUUUCUUAAACCGUUAGUAACAUUAAUUUUUGAACGGAAAUUAAAAUCUGUGAUCUGAUCUUUUGUCAGCAAUCUUUUAUCAUUGGUUUGCAGAUAAUUACACAAAAAAUUGCUCAUUCAAAAACAAAAAAAGUUGUGAAAACGGUAUAUCUGUGGGAGUGCAGCUCUAAAUGUUUAAUUUCUUGAUUUUACUACUGUAUUAGAAAUUACAGGGGUUGGGGCAUAUUUUUAGUGUUUUUAUUGCUUUUUAUGAUUCAUACAGUCACUCUUUAUUCCUCAAGGCAUAACUUACAAAUAGACAAAACUGGAAAAUGGUCGUUUCAAAAGGUUAAAGAUAGUGCAAGUUGAACAAUCAAAUUGUUCAUGGCUUGUAUUUUUGGUAUAUUUUGUUGCAUAUGCUAUAGAAAAGUUGAAAGUUAAAAAUAAAUUCAUAGUUGAAAUGAUGGCUUUGAAUGGUAUUGUCAGAUGAGAAACGGCACUUUUAAGAAAUAGGUAUAAUGGUACUUUAUUUAUUUUGAUCAAUUUUAGAUAUUGUAUAAAAAUUAUUAUCUUAUUUAGUACAUGAGACCUUUUAAACAGUUAUUGACAAUAUAACAAUGUGUAUAUGAAGCUUUAGAUCAACACUUAAAGUUGCACUCUUACAGAUUGUCAGUUAAGACACAAAAUUGUCUCAAAAUCUGCUGAUUUGGUUAUCAUUCCUUUAAUUCAGUCAUAUUAGAUAAUUCACAAUAGAACCCAUCAGAAAUGUAAAAGUGCCGAAAAUUUCAUAUACAUUAAAUUGUUCGUAAUGCUUUUAGCCAUAAAACAUCAUUUUUUUAACAUAAAUAUGAUAAACUGCUAUCUGAUCUUUUUUCAGCAGUCUACUAUCACUUAAAAUUGGGUCUAGACAUUUAUGCAAAAAAAUUGUCCAUUUAUAGACAAACAACAAAAGAGUACCGGUAGUCAAAACGAUCAAUCGGUGAGAUUGCAGCUUUAAAUACACCUUUUAAGACCGCUGUAAAAUUCCAAUGGUUUGCCUAAAUCUUUAAAGCUAGCAUACUGUUUAAUUUACAACCAUACUUAUUGUUUAAAAGUGUCAUGAUAUCUUUGUACAAUGUUUUUAUAUAAUUCAUUAAAGAAGUCAAAACAAAUUUGUUUAUCUUGUAAAUUGUUUUCUAUUAUUUAAAUGACCCAGACAAAAAUGGGAACGUCAGUGCUAGUUCUUUUACUAUUAACAUCCCAUGAAGUUUCUAUUGGUGUAGCAGCAAGGAGGUGUUAUAUUAAGGAUGCAUCAUUUAAACCAAAUUAUACAUUCAUAUGCACAACAUACAGGCGUGUAGCCGCCUAUACGUGAAUACGCGGCUGAAUCCACAUGAUUCUGACAAAAAAAUCAACCAAAGUUGCAGUAUGCGAACUUGACUACAUGAAUCUAAAACUGGUUAUUUUCCAGU